GACGACGCUGGCGGCGUGCCUAACACAUGCAAGUCGAGCGAAUGAAGUUCCUUCGGGAAUGGAUUUAGCGGCGGACGGGUGAGUAACACGUGGGCAACCUGCCUCAUAGAGGGGAAUAGCCUUCCGAAAGGGAGAUUAAUACCGCAUAAGAUUGUAGUACCGCAUGAUACAGCAAUUAAAGGAGCAAUCCGCUAUGAGAUGGGCCCGCGGCGCAUUAGCUAGUUGGUGAGGUAACGGCUCACCAAGGCGACGAUGCGUAGCCGACCUGAGAGGGUGAUCGGCCACAUUGGGACUGAGACACGGCCCAGACUCCUACGGGAGGCAGCAGUGGGGAAUAUUGCACAAUGGGGGAAACCCUGAUGCAGCAACGCCGCGUGAGUGAUGACGGCCUUCGGGUUGUAAAGCUCUGUCUUCAGGGACGAUAAUGACGGUACCUGAGGAGGAAGCCACGGCUAACUACGUG
rnacentral:rRNA from 1 species